UACGGAGGUGGCAAGCGUUGCUCGGAAUCACUGGGCGUAAAGGGCGCGUAGGCGGGGAGGCAAGUCGGGGGUGAAAUCCCUCGGCCCAACCGAGGAACUGCGCCCGAGACUGCUUCUCUUGAGUCCCGGAGAGGAAGAUGGAAUUCCCGGUGUAGCGGUGAAAUGUGUAGAGAUCGGGAGGAACACCGGUGGCGAAGGCGGUCUUCUGGACGGUGACUGACGCUGAGGCGCGAAAGCGUGGGGAGCAAACGGG
rnacentral:rRNA from 1 species